GUCGAAAAUGACAUGCUUGUUUCGCUAUUUUUCUUAUCUGCGCUCGGUGGCUGCGAGAGGGACGUGCGCUGGAAGAGAGGAAGGCGUGCGGUUGUGUCGGCGGCGGAGGAGACGAGCAAAUAGUCGAAGCGGCUUAAACCCCUCGGUGGCCGCGCGCCCUGCGCGGGGUGGCGCGGAGGGAAGGGUGGGUGCGCCGACGCCCGCUCCCGGGAGGACUAGAGGGAGACGGCUCCUGGGAUAGGAGGAGCCGCAGUCGCUGCCGAUGUACGGGGAGUUCCCCCAGUAGAUCCAGCUCUCCGGGCCGGUCUGGCUGCGGGUCAGGUUCGACCACUUAAAGUAGUAGGUGGGACGGGUCUCGACUGAUGUCAGGUUUGCUACUAGAUACCCUCGUCCUAAAUACGAGUUCUCUUCUACCAAAGUCUGCUUCCUGGACCUCCAAGUCAAAACUUGUUACGUUCAUCCUCCUAUUUGUCCUUUAGACGAUCCGACUACGCGGCCUCUCUGCGUGGUCCUCCGGUUGGUCAGGCACCACAGCGGCGGCAGCAGGAGCAGGGAGUACGUAUCGCUGUCUCUCUCUGCUAGACAGACCUCUAGCUCAUAUCCUAGAUCGUGACCAUUAUAGGACGUCCGCAACCUUCUCAUGAACGGUCAGAACGAUCCUAACCAAUUUCUUCUAAUUUAAAGAGAGGUCCUAUCUAUCCCACACUUUAGAGAAGAAGAAGAAGAAGCUCCUCCUCCUACUGCUAACGGUCACUUGUACAUACCUUUUAAGUUUCAACGACGACUCUUUAGAGUUUGAUAGAUAUAGCUUAAACCCUACCACAACUCUAUCAAGUCCAGCUAGUACAGCUUAAAGAUACACAUGCUACUACUCCGUACCUUGUACGAGCCGGGGACGACAUGUCCUUCUUAAUGUCAUGAAGUGAUGACGGGCACUAGAGAUGUAGUCUAUAUUACAAUGUCCUUAUGACCGCUAGCCCCUAUAGAACUAGAGGUUGCUAGUAGACGUUCUUCUCGAGUCAAGUUCUUGAUUCCGAUACGAAACGGUUCCUAAACUUCCACUCAAUAGAAAACAGGAACCUUUCCAGAGGAACCAAAAGUAAAAAUAAACGUACUUGUGUUGAAAUGACGAAUUCCUGAUUACAACAGUGUUGUGCCCUGUUACUAGAAUGAACCAUUAAGCGUGUUGUGGUCACGAUUAGUUGAGUAUACUAAAUCUCGAAACUUCCUAAAAUUUGAAAUCUAGAGUCAUGGUUGAAACGGGCUCUUCUUCUUUAGUUUAACUAGAGUCAUAUUCAUGUUUACGUAAAUACUCUAGAAAGUUGAAUAUAGUGGUAAAACAAAUAAAUACGACGAGUAUUUAAAACAAAGUAAAAAAUUUCAACAAUAAAGACCGGUACGUAAUAGAAAUACCUACUUUAGUUACUUUAAAAACCCUCUUUUAAAUCACCCCCUUGGUCACUACUGAAGGGCGCCUACGCCUACCUCGAAGAAUUAGUCGACCUACCUAAACUACUCGAACCGUUCCAUCUGACUGUAGUAGUUCAUAAAAAGAAGAGAUCUACGGAAAUACGGUAUAUACGUUUCCUAACCUAAGUUAGCUUCAAUAAACGAACGGACUUACAUACACACUAUACGUGAGAUCGAAAGGACCGAGGAUCCACUUCAUACCGUCAGAGCUCUGCUCAAAAUAUCUAAUUCAAAUAACAAGUAGAAAAUGUCUACCUUAUUUUUAACUCCUGACAUCCAAAACAAGAUAGACUAACAACAGUACGGUUGUCUUCACGGAUUAAGAGACUAUCCGAAACUAAGAAUACAAUGAAAGAAUGACCCUACAAAAUAAAAUAAAACCCUUUUGGGUACUAAAAUAGGAUUGGGCUUUAACGGCUCCAUCCUAUUCUCAUUACCCUUAGGUUCGGAUUAAGAGGUAAAGUUACAUGUGUUUUAAUGACCACGUAGAGGUAAAGUUACAUGUGUUUUAAGUCAACCUCAUCUGAGGUUUAGAUGUUUAGUAAGAAGGAUGUUUCUCAUCUUUGUCUCGGAUAGCUGUGUUGGUCUUGUGAUAAAAUUGAGAAUUUGAAUCGGUCGUCAUUGAUAGGUCUCAUCAAGAAGUUUCGAGAUAGCUGUGUUGGUCUCAUCAAGAAGCCUCGAGAUAGGUCGGACUGUAGUUUCCCUCAGUUCAUAGCGAAGUUGAAAGAUAGGACGUUGUCUAUUAAUUUCUAACAGUCUUCCACUGACCAGCGCGGGCUAGAUCCAUUUUAGAAGCAGACUAAAAACCAGGUGUACUGCUACUAGACAAAAAAGCCCUCAAAGAAGUCCUAGGCGAGCACACGGUCUCGGCUGAGUCCUACGGAAGGAGCUGCUGCUGCUUUGUUACUUCGAACUUCGCUCACCUCGAGGCUUCCUCCUAGAGUCCCUACUUCCUCCGCAGCCGCUGUUGGAGUCUUUUCUCACCGUCCCCUGUCCCCCGCGCGGGCACGACCACGACAGCGAUUGCGAGGUGGACCUGCCGUCGCUAACCCUCGACGGAACCCCAUGAUGCACAACCUCCUGUUGCCGCACAUCCAGUACACGGACCACGAUCUGUACUACCGCCCCUGGUUUGGCAGUAGGCGUUGAUGAUCGUCGUCUUGUGUCUUCAGCAGAUACUGGAGCUGUCCUGUACGACCGGAAACACGGCCGCGUCACGCUGUUCGAGCGUCGUAGUGAUAUCACAAAAACAUCUCUCUAUCUUAAACAUCAUGACUAGUCCACUUUACGCGGUUAGACCGUUACCAUGACUUGACUUCGUUGUCAGAAAAAAUUACUUUACACGAGAGUUAACAUUUCGAUCGGUUUUUCCCGACGACCUACUCGCAACAGGAUGGACCG
rnacentral:rRNA from 1 species